rnacentral:rRNA from 1 species
GGGAGGAACGGCUGGGCGGGCGUGCCUAAUACAUGUAGUCGAGCGGAGCGGAUGGAGUGCUUGCACUCCUGAUGCUUAGCGGCGGACGGGUGAGUAAUACGUAGGUAACCUGCCCUUAAGACCGGGAUAACUCACGGAAACGUGGGCUAAUACCGGAUAGGCGAUUUCCUCGCAUGAGGGGAUCGGGAAAGGCGGAGCAAUUCGCUCUCUAUGGAUGGACCUACGGCGCAUAAUCUAGUGUGGUGGGGUAACGGCUCACCAAGGCGACGAUGCGUAGCCGACCUGAGAGGGUGAUCGGCCACACUGGGACUGAGACACGGCCCACACUCUCACGGGAGGCAGCAGUAGGGGAAUCUUCCGCAAUGUACGCAAGUCUGAGAGAGGAGCCCCCCCCGAGGGAGAAAAAGUUUUCGAACAAAAACUCUUUUGCAGGGAAGAACGCUAUGGAGAGUAACUGUUCCAUAAUGACGGUACCUGAGAAGAAAGCCCCCGGCUAACUACGUGCCACCACCCGCGGUAAAA